rnacentral:rRNA from 1 species
GGUUAAGUUAGAAAGGGCGCACGGUGGAUGCCUUGGCACUAGGAGCCGAUGAAGGACGGGACGAACACCGAUAUGCUUCGGGGAGCUGUAAGCAAGCUUUGAUCCGGAGAUUUCCGAAUGGGGAAACCCACCACUCGUAAUGGAGUGGUAUCCAUAUCUGAAUACAUAGGAUAUGAGAAGGCAGACCCGGGGAACUGAAACAUCUAAGUACCCGGAGGAAGAGAAAGCAAAUGCGAUUCCCUGAGUAGCGGCGAGCGAAACGGGACCAGCCCAAACCAAGAGGCUUGCCUCUUGGGGUUGUAGGACACUCUGUACGGAGUUACAAAGGAACGAGGUAGAUGAAGAGGUCUGGAAAGGCCCGCCAUAGGAGGUAACAGCCCUGUAGUCAAAACUUCGUUCUCUCCUGAGUGGAUCCUGAGUACGGCGGAACACGUGAAAUUCCGUCGGAAUCCGGGAGGACCAUCUCCCAAGGCUAAAUACUCCCUAGUGACCGAUAGUGAACCAGUACCGUGAGGGAAAGGUGAAAAGCACCCCGGAAGGGGAGUGAAAGAGAUCCUGAAACCGUGUGCCUACAAGUAGUCAGAGCCCGUUAACGGGUGAUGGCGUGCCUUUUGUAGAAUGAACCGGCGAGUUACGAUCCCGUGCAAGGUUAAGCAGAAGAUGCGGAGCCGCGGCGAAAGCGAGUCUGAAUAGGGCGAAUUGAGUACGUGGUCGUAGACCCGAAACCAGGUGAUCUACCCAUGUCCAGGGUGAAGUUCAGGUAACACUGAAUGGAGGCCCGAACCCACGCACGUUGAAAAGUGCGGGGAUGAGGUGUGGGUAGGGGUGAAAUGCCAAUCGAACCUGGAGAUAGCUGGUUCUCUCCGAAAUAGCUUUAGGGCUAGCCUCAAGGUAAGAGUCUCGGAGGUAGAGCACUGAUUGGACUAGGGGCCCCUACCGGGUUACCGAAUUCAGUCAAACUCCGAAUGCCGAUGACUUAUCCUUGGGAGUCAGACUGCGAGUGAUAAGAUCCGUAGUCGAAAGGGAAACAGCCCAGACCGCCAGCUAAGGUCCCAAAGUAUACGUUAAGUGGAAAAGGAUGUGGAGUUGCUUAGACAACCAGGAUGUUGGCUUAGAAGCGACCACCAUUUAAAGAGUGCGUAAUAGCUCACUGGUCGAGUGACUCUGCGCCGAAAAUGUACCGGGGCUAAACGUAUCACCGAAGGCGCGGACUGUUCUUCGAACAGUGGUAGGAGAGCGUUCUAAGGGCUGUGAAGCAAGACCGGAAGGACUUGUGGAGCGCUUAGAAGUGAGAAUGCCGGUAUGAGUAGCGAAAGAGGGGUGAGAAUCCCCUCCACCGAAUGCCUAAGGUUUCCUGAGGAAGGCUCGUCCGCUCAGGGUUAGUCGGGACCUAAGCCGAGGCCGAAAGGCGUAGGCGAUGGAUAACAGGUUGAUAUUCCUGUACCACCUCCUCACCAUUUGAGCAAUGGGGGGACGCAGGAGGAUAGGGUAAGCGCGGUAUUGGAUAUCCGCGUCCAAGCAGUUAGGCUGGGAAAUAGGCAAAUCCGUUUCCCGUGAAGGCUGAGCUGUGAUGGCGAGCGAAUUAUAGUAGCGAAGUUCCUGAUUCCACACUGCCAAGAAAAGCCUCUAGCGAGGUGAGAGGUGCCCGUACCGCAAACCGACACAGGUAGGCGAGGAGAGAAUCCUAAGGUGAUCGAGAGAACUCUCGUUAAGGAACUCGGCAAAAUGACCCCGUAACUUCGGGAGAAGGGGUGCUCUGUUAGGGUGCAAGCCCGAGAGAGCCGCAGUGAAUAGGCCCAGGCGACUGUUUAGCAAAAACACAGGUCUCUGCGAAGCCGUAAGGCGAAGUAUAGGGGCUGACGCCUGCCCGGUGCUGGAAGGUUAAGAGGAGCGCUUAGCGUAAGCGAAGGUGCGAAUUGAAGCCCCAGUAAACGGCGGCCGUAACUAUAACGGUCCUAAGGUAGCGAAAUUCCUUGUCGGGUAAGUUCCGACCCGCACGAAAGGCGCAACGAUCUGGGCACUGUCUCAACGAGAGACUCGGUGAAAUUAUAGUACCUGUGAAGAUGCAGGUUACCCGCGACAGGACGGAAAGACCCCGUGGAGCUUUACUGCGGCCUGAUAUUGAAUGUUGGUACAGCUUGUACAGGAUAGGUAGGAGCCUUGGAAACCGGAGCGCCAGCUUCGGUGGAGGCAUCGGUGGGAUACUACCCUGGCUGUAUUGACCUUCUAACCCGCCGCCCUUAUCGGGCGGGGAGACAGUGUCAGGUGGGCAGUUUGACUGGGGCGGUCGCCUCCUAAAAGGUAACGGAGGCGCCCAAAGGUUCCCUCAGAAUGGUUGGAAAUCAUUCGCAGAGUGUAAAGGCACAAGGGAGCUUGACUGCGAGACCUACAAGUCGAGCAGGGACGAAAGUCGGGCUUAGUGAUCCGGUGGUUCCGCAUGGAAGGGCCAUCGCUCAACGGAUAAAAGCUACCCCGGGGAUAACAGGCUUAUCUCCCCCAAGAGUCCACAUCGACGGGGAGGUUUGGCACCUCGAUGUCGGCUCAUCGCAUCCUGGGGCUGUAGUCGGUCCCAAGGGUUGGGCUGUUCGCCCAUUAAAGCGGUACGCGAGCUGGGUUCAGAACGUCGUGAGACAGUUCGGUCCCUAUCCGUCGCGGGCGCAGGAAAUUUGAGAGGAGCUGUCCUUAGUACGAGAGGACCGGGAUGGACGCACCGCUGGUGUACCAGUUGUUCUGCCAAGGGCAUCGCUGGGUAGCUAUGUGCGGACGGGAUAAGUGCUGAAAGCAUCUAAGCAUGAAGCCCCCCUCAAGAUGAGAUUUCCCAUUCCGCAAGGAAGUAAGAUCCCUGAAAGAUGAUCAGGUUGAUAGGUCUGAGGUGGAAGUGUGGCGACACAUGGAGCUGACAGAUACUAAUCGAUCGAGGACUUAACCAA